AUACGGAGGGUGCAAGCGUUAAUCGGAAUUACUGGGCGUAAAGCGUACGUAGGCGGUUCGUUAAGUUAGAUGUAAAAGCCCCGGGCUUAACCUGGGAACUGCAUUUAAAACUGGCGAACUAGAGUUGAGUAGAGGGGAGUGGAAUUUCAGGUGUAGCGGUGAAAUGCGUAGAGAUCUGAAGGAACACCAGUGGCGAAGGCGGCUCCCUGGACUCAAACUGACGCUGAGGUACGAAAGCGUGGGUAGCAAACGGGAUUAGAAACCCUAGUAGUCC
rnacentral:rRNA from 1 species